GAUGAACGCUGGCGGCGUGCCUAAUACAUGCAAGUCGAGCGAACAGACGAGGAGCUUGCUCCUCUGACGUUAGCGGGGGACGGGUGAGUAACACGUGGAUAACCUACCUACAAGACUGGGAUAACUACGGGAAACCGGAGCUAAUACCGGAUAAUAUAUUGAACCGCAUGGUUCAAUAGUGAAAGACGGUUUUGCUGUCACUUAUAGAUGGAUCCGCGCCUCAUUAGCUAGUUGGUAAGGUAACGGCUUACCAAGGCAACGAUGCGUAGCCGACCUGAGGGGGUGAUCGGCCACACUGGAACUGAGACACGGUCCAGACUCCUACGGGAGGCAGCAGUAGGGAAUCUUCCGCGAUGGGCGAAAGCCUGACGGAGCAACGCCGCGUGAGUGAUGAAGGUCUUCGGAUCGUAAAACGCUGUUAUUAGGAAAGAACAAAUGUGUAAGUAACUAUGCACGUCUUGACGGUACCUGAACAAAAAGCCACGGCUAACUACGUG
rnacentral:rRNA from 1 species